rnacentral:rRNA from 1 species
UACGGGGGGAGCAAGCGUUGUUCGGAUUUACUGGGCGUAAAGGGCGCGUAGGCGGCCAGCACAAGUCAGUUGUGAAAUCUCCGAGCUUAACUCGGAAAGGUCAACUGAUACUGUGCGGCUAGAGUGCAGAAGGGGCAACUGGAAUUCUUGGUGUAGCGGUGAAAUGUGUAGAUAUCAAGAGGAACACCUGCGGCGAAGGCGGGUUGCUGGGCUGACACUGACGCUGAAGCGCGAAAGCUAGGGGAGCGAACGGG